rnacentral:rRNA from 1 species
UACGAAGGGUGCUAGCGUUGCUCGGAAUCACUGGGCGUAAAGCGCACGUAGGCGGCUUACUAAGUCAGGGGUGAAAUCCUGGAGCUCAACUCCAGAACUGCCUUUGAUACUGGUAAGCUCGAGUCCGGGAGAGGUGAGUGGAACUGCGAGUGUAGAGGUGAAAUUCGUAGAUAUUCGCAAGAACACCAGUGGCGAAGGCGGCUUACUGGUCCGGUUCUGACGCUGAGGCGCGAAAGCGUGGGGAGCAAACAGG